UACGUAGGCAGCGAGCGUUGUUCGGAGUUAUUGGGCGUAAAAGGCUUGUAGGUGGCCACGUCAAGUCGGAUGUGAAAUCUCCCGGCUCAACUGGGAGGGGUCAUUCGAUACUGGCGGGCUCGAGGCCGGUAGGGGGAAGCGGAAUUCCCGGUGUAGUGGUGGAAUGCGUAGAUAUCGGGAGGAACACCAGUGGCGAAGGCGGCUUCCUGGACCGGUUCUGACACUGAGGAGCGAAAGCGUGGGGAGCGAUCCGG
rnacentral:rRNA from 1 species